UAGCUCAGUGGUAGAGCUAUCGGCUGUUAACCGAUCGGUCGUAGGUUCGAGUCCU
rnacentral:tRNA from 2 species